rnacentral:rRNA from 1 species
AGUGAACGCUGGCGGUAGGCCUAACACAUGCAAGUCGAACGGCAGCACAGGAGAGCUUGCACUCUGGGUGGCGAGUGGCGGACGUGUGAGGUAUACAUCGGAUUCUACUCUGUCGUGGGGGAUAACGUAGGGAAACUUACGCUAAUAUCGCAUACGACCUACGGGUGGAAGCAGGGGAUGUUCGGACCUUGCGCGAUUGAAUGAGCCGAUGUCGGAUUAGCUGGUUGGAGGGGUAAAGGCCCACCAAGGCGACGAUCCGUAGCUGGUCUGAGAGGACGAUCAGCCACACUGGAACUGAGACACGGUCCAGACCCCUACGGGAGGCAGCAGUGGGGAAUAUUGGACAAUGGGGGCAAGCCUAAUCCAGCCAUACCGCGUGGGUGAAGAAGGCCUUCGGGUUGUAAAGCCCUUUUGUUGGGAAAGAAAUCCAGCUGGCUAAUACCCGGUUGGGAUGACGGUACCCAAAGAAUAAGCACCGGCUAACUUCGUGCCAGCAGCCGCCGUAA